CACCCAGCACCAGACGUCAUUAAGACGUUGUUUUUUGGGCUAAAUCAAGUCGGCCCGUCAUAGCCUUCAUUUAGCCCAAAAAUAGACGUUGAAAAUUGGGCUUUGUUUGGUCCGUCCGAUUUGGUCCAAAUUUAGCCCAAACAUAGACGUUGAAAAUUGGUCUUUGUUUGGUCCGUCUGAUUUGGUCAAAAUUUAGCCCGAAAAUAGACGUUGAAAACUGGUCUCUAUUUGGUCCGUUUGGUUUGGUCCAAAUUUAGCCCAAAAGACUUUGAAAAAUGUAGCCUCCUUUGUUUGGUCGGUCUGAGGGCAGCGCCAGAUCAUUUUUAACAGGUGCUGAAGGGGUGCUAUCAUUGACAGGGGAGCUUCACAAUUAUAUAAAAAGGCUACUUUUAAUAAAUGAGCAAAACUUAGCCACUCAAUAUAUCAUAUUCAAUUAUUGUAAUUAUCACAAUUCAGGUUUUAAUUUAAAUUAAAAUAAGCACAACAUUCAACAUUCAAUCAAAUAUUCUUAUGUAGCCUAUUAAUAAUAAUGUAAUUUCCACACAAUAUCUUGUUAUUUCGACAUAAUAUGUGUGCGUGCAACAAGCAAGAUGUGCAUUUGUAAAUCCGGUGACACGCGUGCAUUGAUUUUUAUUGCAUUUUAUUUUUAUUAAUAAACUGUUUUCUGUGUCCGCUGCAAAAGAUGAAGUUGAAGAUCUCCAUCUCCGCAGCGAACGCGCCUUGAGAGAGAAAUGCACAAAAUGAUUACAUAAUCAGAGAGUACCUAUUUCUUUUCGUUUUGAAUUGUUUUGUUUAAAGAUAUUUCCAGCUCUCUAUAGAUAUGUCUCAUGUCUUUGAGACAUGCUGAGUUGUGGUAAGUUGAAAGGCAUUUUUUGUGCAUAGUAAAACAUAUCUGCAACAUUUAUCAAGUUCACGGAUAAUUGUGCGUGCAUUUAUUAAUCGUUAUGAUAGGCCUAAAAUCAUAAUAAAGGCUGUGUACAAAAAAAUCAGAUGAGCCCAGAAUAUGAAUGCAACGCGUUUAAUUAGCCUACACAUUAAGCAUUUUCCUCCAAACCAGAACGCUUGGCCUGCGGACUUGAAUGUAUUUAAAAAAUACAUAGAAUAGUUUAUAAUUGUUCCUCAUGUUUCAUCUGUAAUCUGUGUAGGCUAUAUGAGGAAAUAUGUGCAUGCCUUAUGUAGGUUUUAAUCAAUGUUUUUGCAAAAAAAAAAAAAAAAAAAAAACAAUCUACAGCACGUUUACCAUUUUUUAAAGCUAUAUUAUAUUAUUAGACUAUUAGCCUACAUGACUUAAAACAUUGUUUUAUAGUUUGACGAUGGCCACAGGCCUACUAUCCACUUAAUAAUGCAUCAAGUUUCAGCUGAUUGUCAAAUAAUUCACUCCAUCUCAAUGCUGCGUAACUCUGCGUGUUUUAAUCAAUGGGCGCACGCGCUGAACAUUCGAGCCGCAUUUGAACUGGAGCAGACAACGUUACCAUGGAAACCGGGCGGUAGCUCAACUGACAACGAUCAGCACAGCUCCAUCUCUCGCUGUUGUUUUCACUACUUUCAGUAUUGUUAGCUCCAACCCCAAUUAAUCAGACCUGAGCAGCUGACUAAACAUCACCAGAAACUCUGCAGAACACUGGCCCUGGUCUGGUCUGGAUGCCACUGUUGCUAAAGCAUUUCAAGUAAAAACUUAAGUCGUGGCUUAAUAAUCCGGGGUUGGGAUGGUGGAAGGAGCAGAAGAACCAGAAGAUCGGAGAUCAGGAAGAUAUCUGUUGGUGCCUCUGAGGGAACUGAUUUAAUGUGUAGAAUUUAACCAAAAAUGUUCGUCACUCACCUUCAUGUCGUUGCAAACCUGUAAGACUUUCGUUCAUCUUUGAAAGAUAUUUUUAAUGAAAUCUGAGAGGUUUCUGUCCCUCAAUUUCACAGUUUAUGCAACUACCACUUUCAAGCUUCAGAAACGUAAGACAUUAUAAAAAUAAUCAAUAGAGGGUUUGCACCCACGUCACGAUUUGGCCAGUUACCCGGAUGCGCGGCUAUAUUCGAGAUACUCGGAUGUAAACAACAGCAUUGAUUGCACUGUUUAUGUACUACUGAACACAUUGUUACACUAAUUUAUGAUGU